rnacentral:misc_RNA from 1 species
AACUUACCUAUAACGUUGCUUCGGCGGGAAACCGACGGCCCCGUAAGACGGGCCGCCCCCGCCAGAGGACCCCCUAACUCUUGUUAUUUAUGUUUCUCUGAGUAAAACAAGCAAAUAAAUUAAAACUUUCAACAACGGAUCUCUUGGCUCUGGCAUCGAUGAAGAACGCAGCGAAAUGCGAUAAGUAAUGUGAAUUGCAGAAUUCAGUGAAUCAUCGAAUCUUUGAACGCACAUUGCGCCCGCCAGUAUUCUGGCGGGCAUGCCUGUCCGAGCGUCAUUACAACCCUCAGGCCCAGCCUGGUGUUGGGGAUCGGCCGAGCCCUUCUGGGCAGACGCCGUCCCCCAAAUUCAGUGGCGGUCUCGCUGCAGCCUCCAUUGCGUAGUAGCUAACACCUCGCAAUCGGAACGCGGCGCGGCCAUGCCGUAAAACCCCCAACUUCUGAA